rnacentral:rRNA from 1 species
UUAAGCGACUAAGCGUACACGGUGGAUGCCUAGGCAGUCAGAGGCGAUGAAGGGCGUGCUAAUCUGCGAAAAGCGUCGGUAAGCUGAUAUGAAGCGUUAUAACCGACGAUACCCGAAUGGGGAAACCCAGUGCAAUACGUUGCACUAUCGUUAGAUGAAUACAUAGUCUAACGAGGCGAACCGGGGGAACUGAAACAUCUAAGUACCCCGAGGAAAAGAAAUCAACCGAGAUUCCCCCAGUAGCGGCGAGCGAACGGGGAGGAGCCCAGAGUCUGAAUCAGUUUGUGUGUUAGUGGAAGCGUCUGGAAAGUCGCACGGUACAGGGUGAUAGUCCCGUACACCAAAAUGCACAGGCUGUGAACUCGAUGAGUAGGGCGGGACACGUGACAUCCUGUCUGAAUAUGGGGGGACCAUCCUCCAAGGCUAAAUACUCCUGACUGACCGAUAGUGAACCAGUACCGUGAGGGAAAGGCGAAAAGAACCCCGGCGAGGGGAGUGAAAUAGAACCUGAAACCGUGUACGUACAAGCAGUGGGAGCACCUUCGUGGUGUGACUGCGUACCUUUUGUAUAAUGGGUCAGCGACUUAUAUUUUGUAGCAAGGUUAACCGAAUAGGGGAGCCGUAGGGAAACCGAGUCUUAACUGGGCGUCUAGUUGCAAGGUAUAGACCCGAAACCCGGUGAUCUAGCCAUGGGCAGGUUGAAGGUUGGGUAACACUAACUGGAGGACCGAACCGACUAAUGUUGAAAAAUUAGCGGAUGACUUGUGGCUGGGGGUGAAAGGCCAAUCAAACCGGGAGAUAGCUGGUUCUCCCCGAAAGCUAUUUAGGUAGCGCCUCGUGAACUCAUCUUCGGGGGUAGAGCACUGUUUCGGCUAGGGGGCCAUCCCGGCUUACCAAACCGAUGCAAACUCCGAAUACCGAAGAAUGUUAUCACGGGAGACACACGGCGGGUGCUAACGUCCGUCGUGAAGAGGGAAACAACCCAGACCGCCAGCUAAGGUCCCAAAGUCAUGGUUAAGUGGGAAACGAUGUGGGAAGGCACAGACAGCCAGGAUGUUGGCUUAGAAGCAGCCAUCAUUUAAAGAAAGCGUAAUAGCUCACUGGUCGAGUCGGCCUGCGCGGAAGAUGUAACGGGGGCUAAACCAUGCACCGAAGCUGCGGCAGCGACACUUAGGUGUUGUUGGGUAGGGGAGCGUUCUGUAAGCCGUUGAAGGUGACCUGUGAGGGUUGCUGGAGGUAUCAGAAGUGCGAAUGCUGACAUAAGUAACGAUAAUGCGGGUGAAAAACCCGCACGCCGGAAGACCAAGGGUUCCUGUCCAACGUUAAUCGGGGCAGGGUGAGUCGACCCCUAAGGCGAGGCUGAAAAGCGUAGUCGAUGGGAAACAGGUUAAUAUUCCUGUACUUGGUGUUACUGCGAAGGGGGGACGGAGAAGGCUAGGCUGGCCGGGCGACGGUUGUCCCGGUUUAAGCGUGUAGGGGGAGUGACCAGGUAAAUCCGGUUGCUUAUCAACCCUGAGGCGUGAUGACGAUGCACCACGGUGCAGAAGCAGUUGAUGCCAUGCUUCCAGGAAAAGCCUCUAAGCAUCAGGUAACAUUAAAUCGUACCCCAAACCGACACAGGUGGUCAGGUAGAGAAUACUCAGGCGCUUGAGAGAACUCGGGUGAAGGAACUAGGCAAAAUGGUGCCGUAACUUCGGGAGAAGGCACGCUGGCGUUAGGUGAAAGGACUAGCUCCUGGAGCUGAAGCCAGUCGCAGAUACCAGCUGGCUGCAACUGUUUAAUAAAAACACAGCACUGUGCAAACACGAAAGUGGACGUAUACGGUGUGACGCCUGCCCGGUGCUGGAAGGUUAAUUGAUGGGGUCAGCCGCAAGGCGAAGCUCUUGAUCGAAGCCCCAGUAAACGGCGGCCGUAACUAUAACGGUCCUAAGGUAGCGAAAUUCCUUGUCGGGUAAGUUCCGACCUGCACGAAUGGCGUAAUGAUGGCCAGGCUGUCUCCACCCGAGACUCAGUGAAAUUGAACUCGCUGUGAAGAUGCAGUGUACCCGCGGCAAGACGGAAAGACCCCGUGAACCUUUACUAUAGCUUGACACUGAACAUUGAGCCUUGAUGUGUAGGAUAGGUGGGAGGCCUUGAAGUGUGGACGCCAGUCUGCAUGGAGCCAACCUUGAAAUACCACCCUUUAAUGUUUGAUGUUCUAACUCGGCCCCAUGAUCUGGGGUGAGGACAGUGUCUGGUGGGUAGUUUGACUGGGGCGGUCUCCUCCCAAAGAGUAACGGAGGAGCACGAAGGUUAGCUAAUCACGGUCGGACAUCGUGAGGUUAGUGCAAAGGCAUAAGCUAGCUUGACUGCGAGAGUGACGGCUCGAGCAGGUACGAAAGUAGGUCUUAGUGAUCCGGUGGUUCUGAAUGGAAGGGCCAUCGCUCAACGGAUAAAAGGUACUCCGGGGAUAACAGGCUGAUACCGCCCAAGAGUUCAUAUCGACGGCGGUGUUUGGCACCUCGAUGUCGGCUCAUCACAUCCUGGGGCUGAAGUAGGUCCCAAGGGUAUGGCUGUUCGCCAUUUAAAGUGGUACGCGAGCUGGGUUUAGAACGUCGUGAGACAGUUCGGUCCCUAUCUGCCGUGGGCGUUGGAAGAUUGAGAGGGGGCUGCUCCUAGUACGAGAGGACCGGAGUGGACGAAUCACUGGUGUUCGGGUUGUCAUGCCAAUGGCAUUGCCCGGUAGCUAAAUUCGGAAGAGAUAACCGCUGAAAGCAUCUAAGCGGGAAACUUGCCUCGAGAUGAGUCUUCCCUGGGGCUUAAAGCCCCCUGAAGGAACGUUAAAGACUAUGACGUUGAUAGGCUGGGUGUGUAAGUGCAGCGAUGUAUUGAGCUAACCAGUACUAAUGAUCCGUGAGGCUUAACCUU